rnacentral:rRNA from 1 species
CCUACGGGAGGCAGCAGUGGGGAAUAUUGCACAAUGGGCGCAAGCCUGAUGCAGCCAUGCCGCGUGUGUGAAGAAGGCCUUCGGGUUGUAAAGCACUUUCAGCGGGGAGGAAGGCGGUGAGGUUAAUAACCUCAUCGAUUGACGUUACCCGCAGAAGAAGCACCGGCUAACUCCGUGCCAGCGGCCGCGGUAAUACGGAGGGUGCAAGCGUUAAUCGGAAUUACUGGGCGUAAAGCGCACGCAGGCGGUCUGUCAAGUCGGAUGUGAAAUCCCCGGGCUCAACCUGGGAACUGCAUUGGAAACUGGCAGGCUAGAGUCUUGUAGAGGGGGGUAGAAUUCCAGGUGUAGCGGUGAAAUGCGUAGAGAUCUGGAGGAAUACCGGUGGCGAAGGCGGCCCCCUGGACAAAGACUGACGCUCAGGUGCGAAAGCGUGGGGAGCAAACAGGAUUAGAUACCCGUGUAGUC